AAAGCGUGGCCUAUCGAUCCU
rnacentral:siRNA from 1 species